rnacentral:rRNA from 1 species
GUCGAACGAGGUCUUCGGACUUAGUGGCGGACGGGUGAGUAACGCGUGAGAAUCUGCCCUUAGGAGGGGGACAACAGUUGGAAACGACUGCUAAUACCCCAUAUGCCGGGAGGUGAAAAGGUUAAAUCCGCCUAAGGAGGAGUUCGCGUCUGAUUAGCUAGUUGGUGGGGUAAGAGCCUACCAAGGCGACGAUCAGUAGCUGGUCUGAGAGGAUGAUCAGCCACACUGGGACUGAGACACGGCCCAGACUCCUACGGGAGGCAGCAGUGGGGAAUUUUCCGCAAUGGGCGCAAGCCUGACGGAGCAACGCCGCGUGCGGGAGGAAUGCCUGUGGGUUGUAAACCGCUUUUAUCAGGGAAGAAGGUCUGACGGUACCUGAUGAAUCAGCAUCGGCUAACUCCGUGCCAGCAGCCGCGGUAAGGCGGAGGAUGCAAGCGUUAUCCGGAAUUAUUGGGCGUAAAGCGUCUGUAGGUGGCUGUUCAAGUCUGCUGUUAAAGAUUGGGGCUCAACUCCGAGAAGGCAGUGGAAACUGAAUAGCUAGAGUGCGGUAGGGGUAGAGGGAAUUCCCAGUGUAGCGGUGAAAUGCGUAGAUAUUGGGAAGAACACCAGUGGCGAAGGCGCUCUACUGGGCCGCAACUGACACUGAGGGACGAAAGCUAGGGGAGCGAAUGGGAUUAGAUACCUCAGUAGUCCUAGCUGUAAACGAUGGAUACUAGGUGUUGGCCGUAUCGACCCGGUCAGUAUCGUAGCUAACGCGUUAAGUAUCCCGCCUGGGGAGUACGCACGCAAGUGUGAAACUCAAAGGAAUUGACGGGGGCCCGCACAAGCGGUGGAGU